rnacentral:rRNA from 1 species
GAUGAACGCUGGCGGCGUGCCUAAUACAUGCAAGUCGAGCGAACGGACGAGAAGCUUGCUUCUCUGAUGUUAGCGGCGGACGGGUGAGUAACACGUGGAUAACCUACCUAUAAGACUGGGAUAACUUCGGGAAACCGUAGCUAAUACCGGAUAAUAUUUUGAACCGCAUGGUUCAAAAGUGAAAGACGGUCUUGCUGUCACUUAUAGAUGGAUCCGCGCUGCAUUAGCUAGUUGGUAAGGUAACGGCUUACCAAGGCAACGAUGCAUAGCCGACCUGAGAGGGGGAUGGGCCACACGGAAACGGAGACACGUUCCAGACUCCUACGGAAGGAAGCGGUGGGGAAUCUUCCGAAAUGGGCGAAAGCCUGCGGGAGCAACGCCCGUGAGUGAUGAAGGUCUUCGGAUCGUAAAACUCUGUUAUUAGGGAAGAACAUAUGUGUAAGUAACUGUGCACAUCUUGACGGUACCUAAUCACAAAGCCACGGCUAACUACGUG